rnacentral:tRNA from 1 species
GGUAGCUCAACCGGUAGAGCACCUGACUGUUAAUCAGGGGGUUGGGGGUUCGAAACCCUCCC